GUGCUCGCUUCGGCAGCGCAUAUACUAAAAUUGGAACGAUACAGAGAAGAUUAGAAUGGCCCCUGCGCAUGGAUGACACGCAAAUUCGUGAAGUGUUCCAUAUUUUU
rnacentral:snRNA from 3 species